UGCGAGGGUAGCCAAGCCAGGCCAACGGCGUCAGACUUAAGAUCUGAUCUAUUAGUAGUUCAUGGGUUCGAAUCCCACCCCUCGCAUC
rnacentral:tRNA from 1 species